GAUGAACGCUGGCGGCGUGCCUAAUACAUGCAAGUCGAACGCAACUUCUUUAUCACCGAUUGCUUGCACUCACCGAUAAAGAGUUGAGUGGCGAACGGGUGAGUAACACGUCGGCAACCUGCCCAAAGGUGGGGGAUAACACCUGUAAACAGGUGCUCAUAACACAUAACAAUACUUACUGCAUGGUAAAUAUGUACAAUGUCGCUAUAAUACCGCUUUUGGAUGGGCCGGGGGCUCAUAAGCUAGUUGAUAGGUUACAGGCUUACCAAGGCAAUGCUGCGUAGCCGAAUUGAGAGGUUGAUCGCCCACAUUGGAACGGAGCAACGGCCCAAACUCCUACGGGAGGCAGCGGAAGGGAUUCUCCCACAAUGAGCGAAGUCCUGCUGGAGCAACGCCGCGUGGUGGAGGAAGGUUUUCGGAUCUUAAGACCUUGUUGUUAGGGAAGACAGUUGGGGAGAGGAACAGUUCACGUUUUGACGGUAUCUAACCAGAAAGCCACGGCUAACUACGUG
rnacentral:rRNA from 1 species